GAUGAAGAACGCAGCGAAAUGCGAUAAGUAAUGUGAAUUGCAGAAUUCAGUGAAUCAUCGAAUCUUUGAACGCACCUUGCGCCCUUUGGCCAUUCCGAAGGGCAUGCCUGUUUGAGUAUCAUGAACACCUCAACUCUUCAUGGUUUUCCAUGAUGAGCUUGGACUUUGGGGGUCUUGCUGGCCUGUGGGUCGGCUCCUCUCAAAUGAAUCAGCUUGCCGGUUUUUGGUGGGCAUCACAGGUGUGAUAACUAUCUACGCUUGUGGUUUUCCACCAGGGUAACCUCCAGCGAUGGAGGUUCGCUGGAGCUCACAAACGUCUCUCCUCAGCGAAGACAGCUCUUGAACGUUUGAUCUCAAAUCAGGUAGGACUACCCGCUGAACUUAAGCAUAUCAAUAAGCGGAGGA
rnacentral:misc_RNA from 1 species